rnacentral:lncRNA from 1 species
GAUUGAUUGAUUGUUGGUUGCUUAACGUCCAGUGGUAAAUAUUUCAUGCAUAUUCAGGACGAGAACAAGUUCACAAUAAAUAUAAUAGGUAGGUUGAUACAAUAGAGGCCAUCUGGGAUGAUGGUCGGGGAAAUUUGGACUGCCACUGGAAAAUGAGGGUAUAUUGGAUAGGGACAGAAAUUUUGCCUUGCAACAGGCCACCUACGGACCCCUCAAAGAGUUGUUGCAAGGGUUCUUAACGUGCAAAGAGCUUGGCACUCUCUUUACACGAGGCAUCGGAUUUAACGUCCCCCUUCUGACCGGACGUGACUGCGAACUUGAUACAUCCCGCA